rnacentral:tRNA from 1 species
GCCCCCGUAGCUCAACGGAUAGAGCAGUCCCGUCCUAAGGGAAAGAUAUGGGUCCGACUCCUGUCGGGGGUACCA